AUUGACCGCUGGCGGCAGGCUUAACACAUGCAAGUCGAACGAGUGGCGGACGGGUGAGUAAUGCUUGGGCAUCUGGCUUAUGGAGGGGGAUAACGACGGGAAACUGUCGCUAAUACCGCGUACCAUAGGAUGAGCCCAAGUGGGAUUAGGUAGUUGGUGGGGUAAUGGCCUACCAAGCCGACGAUCUCUAGCUGGUCUGAGAGGAUGACCAGCAACAACGGGAGUGAGGAAGGGCCCGGAAUCCUACGGGAGGAGGCAGUGGGGAAUAUUGCGCAGUGGGGGCAACCUGACACGGCCAUGCCGCGUGAAUGAAGAAGGCCUUCGGGUUGUAAAGUUCUUACGGGGAAGAGGCGUUAAUCACAGAAGAAGCACCGGCUAACUACGUGCCGGCCGCCGAGGUAAUAG
rnacentral:rRNA from 1 species